rnacentral:rRNA from 2 species
CUUUUACAAUGAAGAGUUUGAUCCUGGCUCAGGAUGAACGCUAGCUACAGGCUUAACACAUGCAAGUCGAGGGGCAGCAUUUUAGUUUGCUUGCAAACUAAAGAUGGCGACCGGCGCACGGGUGAGUAACACGUAUCCAACCUGCCGAUAACUCGGGGAUAGCCUUUCGAAAGAAAGAUUAAUAUCCGAUAGUAUAUUAAAACCGCAUGGUUUUACUAUUAAAGAAUUUCGGUUAUCGAUGGGGAUGCGUUCCAUUAGUUUGUUGGCGGGGUAACGGCCCACCAAGACUACGAUGGAUAGGGGUUCUGAGAGGAAGGUCCCCCACAUUGGAACUGAGACACGGUCCAAACUCCUACGGGAGGCAGCAGUGAGGAAUAUUGGUCAAUGGACGAGAGUCUGAACCAGCCAAGUAGCGUGAAGGAUGACUGCCCUAUGGGUUGUAAACUUCUUUUAUAUGGGAAUAAAGUAUUCCACGUGUGGGAUUUUGUAUGUACCAUAUGAAUAAGGAUCGGCUAACUCCGUGCCAGCAGCCGCGGUAAUACGGAGGAUCCGAGCGUUAUCCGGAUUUAUUGGGUUUAAAGGGAGCGUAGGUGGAUUGUUAAGUCAGUUGUGAAAGUUUGCGGCUCAACCGUAAAAUUGCAGUUGAAACUGGCAGUCUUGAGUACAGUAGAGGUGGGCGGAAUUCGUGGUGUAGCGGUGAAAUGCUUAGAUAUCACGAAGAACUCCGAUUGCGAAGGCAGCUCACUAGACUGCAACUGACACUGAUGCUCGAAAGUGUGGGUAUCAAACAGGAUUAGAUACCCUGGUAGUCCACACAGUAAACGAUGAAUACUCGCUGUUUGCGAUAUACAGUAAGCGGCCAAGCGAAAGCAUUAAGUAUUCCACCUGGGGAGUACGCCGGCAACGGUGAAACUCAAAGGAAUUGACGGGGGCCCGCACAAGCGGAGGAACAUGUGGUUUAAUUCGAUGAUACGCGAGGAACCUUACCCGGGCUUAAAUUGCAUUUGAAUAAUCUGGAAACAGGUUAGCCGCAAGGCAAAUGUGAAGGUGCUGCAUGGUUGUCGUCAGCUCGUGCCGUGAGGUGUCGGCUUAAGUGCCAUAACGAGCGCAACCCUUAUCUUUAGUUACUAACAGGUCAUGCUGAGGACUCUAGAGAGACUGCCGUCGUAAGAUGUGAGGAAGGUGGGGAUGACGUCAAAUCAGCACGGCCCUUACGUCCGGGGCUACACACGUGUUACAAUGGGGGGUACAGAAGGCAGCUACCUGGUGACAGGAUGCUAAUCCCAAAAACCUCUCUCAGUUCGGAUCGAAGUCUGCAACCCGACUUCGUGAAGCUGGAUUCGCUAGUAAUCGCGCAUCAGCCAUGGCGCGGUGAAUACGUUCCCGGGCCUUGUACACACCGCCCGUCAAGCCAUGAAAGCCGGGGGUACCUGAAGUACGUAACCGCAAGGAGCGUCCUAGGGUAAAACUGGUAAUUGGGGCUAAGUCGUAACAAGGUAGCCGUACCGGAAGGUGCGGCUGGAACACCUCCUUUCU